rnacentral:rRNA from 1 species
GUGGGGAAUCUUGCGCAAUGGGCGAAAGCCUGACGCAGCCAUGCCGCGUGAAUGAUGAAGGUCUUAGGAUUGUAAAAUUCUUUCACCGGGGACGAUAAUGACGGUACCCGGAGAAGAAGCCCCGGCUAACUUCGUGCCAGCAGCCGCGGUAAUACGAAGGGUGCGAGCGUUGUCCGGAUUUAUUGGGUUUAAAGGGUGCGUAGGCUGGAAGGUCAGUCAGCGGUGAAAAGCUGUCGCUUAACGAUAGUCUUGCCGCAGAUACUUCCUUUCUUGGAUGAGGAGGAGGCCACUGGAACGGAUGGUGUAGCGGUGAAAUGCAUAGAUAUCAUCCAGAACACCGAUUGCGAAGGCAGGUGGCUGUACCUUAAUCGACGCUGAUGCACGAAAGCAUGGGGAGCAAACAGGAUUAGAUACCCCGGUAGUCC